AGUCAACAUGCCCAGGGGACGUGGAUAACCUCGGGAAACUGAGGAUAAACCGCGAUAAGUCAUUACUUCUGGAAUGGGUAAUGACUCAAAUCUACAUGGCCCCUGGAUUGGACUGCGGCCGAUCAGGCUGUUGGUGAGGUAAUGGCCCACCAAACCUGUAACCGGUACGGGCUCUGAGAGGAGGAGCCCGGAGAUGGGCACUGAGACAAGGGCCCAGGCCCUAUGGGGCGCAGCAGGCGCGAAACCUCUGCAAUAGGCGAAAGCCUGACAGGGUUACUCUGAGUGAUUUCCGUUAAGGAGAUCUUUUGGCACCUCUAAAAAUGGUGCAGAAUAAGGGGUGGGCAAGUCUGGUGUCAGCCGCCGCGGUAAUACCAGCACCCCGAGUGGUCGGGACGUUUAUUGGGCCUAAAGCAUCCGUAGCCGGUUCUACAAGUCUUCCGUUAAAUCCACCUGCUUAACAGAUGGGCUGCGGAAGAUACUAUAGAGCUAGGAGGCGGGAGAGGCAAGCGGUACUCGAUGGGUAGGGGUAAAAUCCGUUGAUCCAUUGAAGACCACCAGUGGCGAAGGCGGCUUGCCAGAACGCGCUCGACGGUGAGGGAUGAAAGCUGGGGGAGCAAACCGGAUUAGAUACCCGGGUAGUCCCAGCUGUAAACGAUGCAGACUCGGUGAUGGGCUGGC
rnacentral:rRNA from 1 species